UACGAAGGGGGCUAGCGUUGUUCGGAAUUACUGGGCGUAAAGCGCGUGUAGGCGGGUCUUUUAAGUCAGGGGUGAAAUGCCAAGGCUCAACCUUGGAACUGCCUUUGAUACUGGAGAUCUUGAGUCCGGGAGAGGUGAGUGGAAUUGCGAGUGUAGAGGUGAAAUUCGUAGAUAUUCGCAAGAACACCAGUGGCGAAGGCGGCUCACUGGCCCGGAACUGACGCUGAGACGCGAAAGCGUGGGGAGCAAACAGGG
rnacentral:rRNA from 1 species